rnacentral:rRNA from 1 species
UACGAAGGGGGCUAGCGUUGCUUGGAAUCACUGGGCGUAAAGGGUGCGUAGGCGGGUUUUUAAGUCAGGGGUGAAAUCCUGGAGCUCAACUCCAGAACUGCCUUUGAUACUGAAGAUCUUGAGUCCGGGAGAGGUGAGUGGAACUGCGAGUGUAGAGGUGAAAUUCGUAGAUAUUCGCAAGAACACCAGUGGCGAAGGCGGCUCACUGGCCCGGUACUGACGCUGAGGCACGAAAGCGUGGGGAGCAAACAGG